rnacentral:lncRNA from 1 species
AAACAGCCUGGCGCGGAGUGCAAACCUUCCUCGUCUUUGCUUUUCGGUUCUCAAACUGUUGUGGGCUCCGAGCGCCAGCUCGCAGUCGGGCUCCACGCCCCAUCGCUUGUACUAUUUGGGAAGCACCGAGUUCGGUACCUGGCCCUGAGCAGUAGCUAAAUGACGACGGGCCCUGUUAUUGUUUGUUACCACCUGGGACAGGUACUCUGAAGGCAAUGUAAACUUGUGCUCGCUUCGGCAGCACAUAUACUAAAAUUGAAGGCAAUGUAAACUUGGGGAACCAGGGGAGGAGGAGCGUUCUCCUUUCUGUUACCCUGUGCCUCACCUAGUUCCGCAAAAGAUUUGAAGCCCAAAGGGCACAGAUACAAUCAACUGUUGAAACAAAGGAAAAGCAAAAAUCACAAAAAAAUCAAGACCGGGUAAAUAAACGGGCUGACAAGGGAGUGACAGAAUUCCAAAGACCAAAAGAGGAUUCAGCAUUGAAAGUUUCCAGAAAGCGGCCUUGGGCUGAGAGAGGUAAAACUGUUGGGAGCCAAGCGUUUUUGAGAAAGACGUCACAGCCUUUCCAGGCUUUCCUCACUCUAGCAACAAUGGUUUAAAAGGAAUGAACGUUAUGAGUUUCUCUUUGACCUUACAGAAAGAAGGUAAAAUCAUGGUGAAGAACUCAAAGCGUCAGUUCAGAACAAUAAAGCUUUAGUGAUGCCCAGGAGUUUCAGAAAUAGAGCAACAAACCUUGACUUUGCCUUGGAGGGAGGGGCAGUGGACAGAGGCAUAAACAGACGGUUUCAAAGUUUCAUGAAUAACACGCAUCCUUGGAUGAAGCUCUCACACCGGAGUUGUAUCUUGAAAUAGCUCUGGAGUGAAAGUUCAAAGUGGUCCAGGCAGCAGGGAGCUAUGUGGCAAGCUUUUGGGGGUGUGCCAUUCCAGGACAUGGGUUUUAUAAGGUGCACAGCUACCGAGAAUUUUCAGCAAGACUCAUGGGAAAAGAUAAGAGUUUGGAAAUACCUAGGAAAGGUCCCAGAAGCCCAGCCGUCCUACCCUCCUGUUGGCCACAGCAUUCUAUGGGCAGUAAACUAUACAGGCCAGCCCAAGCUGAGGGCAAGAACAUCUGGUCAGCAAAAUCGGCAGGAAGACCCAGGCUGCACCAGCUGCCCACCCAGCCAGCCUGCGUAUGGGCAUGGAGAGCAGGGCCUCCAGGCUGCACCUUCCACACUUGGAUUUGAACAGCCUACAUAUACAAUACACGAGACAGUGGCUCUGAAGAGAGAAAAGAUUCCAUCUCUCAGGUUCCCUAAAGUUUCCCUUCAUAAACCAACACCACUGCCCCGGGUGACCGAGAAUGCCAGGGAGGGGUAA